rnacentral:lncRNA from 1 species
UUUAAGUGUUAAUCAUUAAGAGUGUGUUUCUCUUGUUUGAUUUAUCUUUUGAUUCUCAAGAUUAUCUUGGAAAAUUCUCUAUUUGGUUUAUGCAUUUCAUAAUUCACCAUAAUUCCCCUCCCUCUCUUGUGUUUGGAUUUACUCUUUCAACAAGUGGUAUUAGAGGCUAACUCCUAGUAAAUACUAAGCAUCCCAAGAGGAAGGAAAUGACUUCAAACGAUUAAUUUAACAAACCCUCAUCCUUUAAUGGAGAUGGGUAUGCUUUGUGGAAAGAGAAU